rnacentral:rRNA from 1 species
UGCAUGUCUAAGUAUAAAUUCUUGUACGAUGAAACUGCAGACGGCUCAAUACAACAGUGAUAAACUAAUAGACUUUCGGGUUUUUAACCUUUUGGAUAACCGCAGUAAAUCGGGGCUAAUACAUACAAGCGAUGGGUGACUGGCAACGGAAGCUCAGCGAUUAUUAGCAUUACUACCAAUACCUUCGGGUCUUGUGGUGAAACCGAAUAAUAUUGCAGAUCGAGGAUUUAUCUUCGACAAGUCUACUGUGUCACUGCCCUAUCAACUUUCGAUGGUACGGUAUUGGCCUACCAUGGUUGUAACGGGUAACGGGGAAUUAGGGUUCGAUUCCGGAGAGGGAGCCUGAGAAAUGGCUACCACUUCUACGGAAGGCAGCAGGCGCGCAAAUUACUCAAUCCCAAUACGGGGAAGUAGUGACAAUAAAUAUCAAUACCUAUCCUUAACGGAGGGCAAUUGAAAUGAACACAAAUUAAAACUCUUAAUUAACACAAUUGGAGGGCAAGUCUGGUGCCAGCAGCCGCGGUAAUUCCAGCUCCAAUAGCAUAUACUAAAGUUGUUGCAGUUAAAAAGCUCGUAGUUGAAGUUAAAGGUUUACUGGGCUAAAGUUAUUUGCCACUCUGGUGGUUAAAUCAACUCCAGUAUUCCUUUUUUUAAUAGCUCUGCUUCUAGCAUCUUUGAUGUUAGUUGUUUGGGCAUUUCACUGUGAGAAAAUUGUGGUGUUUAAAGCAGGCGUCUCGCCUGAUCUUUUGCAGCAUGGUAUGAUGAAACAUGACAUUUUACG